GACGAACGCUGGCGGCGUGCUUAACACAUGCAAGUCGAACGGUGAAGCGAGUGCUUGCACUCGUGGAUCAGUGGCGAACGGGUGAGUAACACGUGAGUAACCUGCCCAUCACUCUGGGAUAAGCACUGGAAACGGUGUCUAAUACUGGAUACGACCAACCCUUGCAUGGGGUGUUGGUGGAAAGAUUUAUCGGUGAUGGAUGGACUCGCGGCCUAUCAGCUUGUUGGCGGGGUAAUGGCACACCAAGGCGACGACGGGUAGCCGGCCUGAGAGGGUGACCGGCCACACUGGGACUGAGACACGGCCCAGACUCCUACGGGAGGCAGCAGUGGGGAAUAUUGCACAAUGGGCGAAAGCCUGAUGCAGCGACGCCGCGUUAGUGAUGACGGCCUUCGGGUUGUAAACCUCUUUCAGCAGGGAAGAAGCGAAAGUGACGGUACCUGCAGAAGAAGCACCGGCUAACUACGUG
rnacentral:rRNA from 1 species